CAAGCAGCGGAGCGUGUGGUUUAAUUCGAUGCUACACGAAGAACCUUACCAGGGUUUGACAUGCAAGUGGUAGGGAACCGAAAGGCGACCGACCCUUCGGGGAGCUUGCACAGGUGCUGCAUGGCUGUCGUCAGCUCGUGUCGUGAGAUGUUCGGUUAAGUCCGCUAACGAGCGCAACCCUCGCUGUGUGUUACAAGUGUCACACGGUACUGCCGGUCUUAAGCCGGAGGAAGGUGGGAUGACGUCAAGUCAGCAUGGCCUUUAUGUCCUGGGCUACACACACGCUACAAUGGCCAACACAAUAGGUUGCUAAGCCGCGAGGUGGAGCCAAUCCUCAAAGUUGGUCUCAGUUCAGAUUGCAGGCUGCAACCCGCCUGCAUGAAGAUGGAGUUGCUAGUAACCGCAGGUCAGCUAUACUGCGGUGAAUACGUUCCCGGGGCUU
rnacentral:rRNA from 1 species